GUGCCAGCAGCCGCGGUAAUACGUAGGUGGCAAGCGUUGUCCGGAAUUAUUGGGUGUAAAGCGCGCGCAGGCGGUCCUUUAAGUCUGAUGUGAAAGCCCACGGCUCAACCGUGGAGGGUCAUUGGAAACUGGGGGACUUGAGUGCAGAAGAGAAGAGUGGAAUUCCACGUGUAGCGGUGAAAUGCGUAGAGAUGUGGAGGAACACCAGUGGCGAAGGCGACUCUUUGGUCUGUAACUGACGCUGAGGCGCGAAAGCGUGGGGAGCAAACAGGAUUAGAAACCCCUGUAGUCC
rnacentral:rRNA from 1 species